UAAUAAUAUAAUUAUUAUAUAUACAAAUGAGUAACAUAUUCGAGACGCAAGAUGAAGGUGUAGAGAUUCCAAUCGUUGAGAGGAUUGAGCGGCGCCAAUACUCAGUGGGAAUAUCAAGAACGCAACAAAACUCAGAAUAUUCAGAAAAGGCUGGAAAAAUUGGAGGAAAAUGUAUUUAUAACUUUGCAGAACCAAAAAACGCUUAGUGAAGGCCAAUCGUCACUGGUUCACAACCAAACUGCAAUAUUUGAAAAACUGAAUGAGAUGGAGUCGAAAAUUGUCGAAAAGGCUGAGGUUUUGGCGCAAAAUAAGUCAAUCAGAGAAUGCAAAGUUCUCUUAAAACGAGUGGAGCAGUCAGUGUGCCGCAUGACCGGCGAAGUGAUUGACAAAGAGC